rnacentral:rRNA from 1 species
GACGUAGGGCGCGAGCGUUAAUCGGAAUUACUGGGCGUAAAGCGCACGCAGGCGGUCUGUCAAGUCGAAUGUGAAAUCCCCGGGCUCAACCUGGGAACUGCAUUCGAAACUGGCAGGCUGGAGUCUCGUAGAGGGAGGUAGAAUUCCAGGUGUAGCGGUGAGAUGCGUAGAGAUCUGGAGGAAUACCGGUGGCGAAGGCGGCCUCCUGGACGAAGACUGACGCUCAGGUGCGAAAGCGUGGGGAGCAAACAGG